AGGACAAAAUUGAAAGUCAAGUUUUGCUGCCUGCAGAGCUAACCAAAAAAAACUUGAAAAUGAGGUGCUCAGCUCCAGAUGAUUACUAAGAAAGGAUUUUGAUCCACAUUCAGCAAGACCUCACUUUUACUAUUAUAAGGAACAAUCAAAUAGAGAGCCUGGCAAAGAACUGAGCCAACAGGACCGGUUCACGUCUCCUGACAACCUGCCUCCAGCCAAUACCUGCUCUGCACACAGGACUUGUGCAUCUCUCAGCCUGGCAGACCUCCUCUAACAGCCAACCUCGACAACAGGUGAUUACUGGGAAGGGAGGUAGAGAAUGAUGUCCUCCACUCUGUACUUCAUCUGCAGGCUGUGGCUGGGAGUGAAACUGAGCAUACAUUCAGCUUCUAUGAUGUGCAAGUUAUGCCUGAAAAGUAGAAAUGUGCAAAGAAAGGAAAAUUAGGUGGAACGACAUCUGUAAAAUCUGCUAAUCCAAAACAGUGCUGUGUAAACCUGACUCUGGUGAUUGUGCAACUGGGCUCCAGGUCAAAAAGAAACAAAGCCAGCAGACAUGCUGGAGAAGCAAUUCCUGUGAGACUGACCAGCUGCGAUGACUGGGGACAGAGAGGACAAUAACUGAAGGCUGGCUGAACAGGACAACCACUUCAUUACUGCACUGGCAGCCCCCUGCAAGAAAUGCUGCACUCAAGCAACCUCUGAAUUUCUAUGUAAGCAGUAACUAAAGAAGAUAAAUGAGCAAAGGGAGGAAUAUAUGCUGUUCUGAUUCUUUCAGGAGUGUCCCAGUGCAAUGUGGUUCCAGAGGGAGCUGGCAGA